GACGGGGCCCGCACAAGCGGUGGAGCAUGUGGUUUAAUUCGAUGAUACGCGAGGACUACCUGGGCUCAAAUGUAUGUUGACGUAUUCUGAAAGGGAUACUUCUUCGGACAAUAUACAAGGUGCUGCAUGGUUGUCGUCAGCUCGUGCCGUGAGGUGUCGGGUUAAGUCCCAUAACGAGCGCAACCCCUAUCAUUAGUUGCCAUCAGGUCAAGCUGGGGACUCUAAUGAAACUGCCUACGCAAGUAGUGAGGAAGGUGGGGAUGACGUCAAAUCAGCACGGCCCUUACGUCCAGGGCUACACACGUGCUACAAUGGCCGGUACAGAGGGCAGCUACCUGGUGACAGGAUGCAAAUCUCCAAAGUCGGUCUCAGUUCGGAUCGGAGUCUGCAACCCGACUCCGUGAAGUUGGAUUCGCUAGUAAUCGCGCAUCAGCCAUGGCGCGGUGAAUACGUUCCCGGGCCUU
rnacentral:rRNA from 1 species